rnacentral:lncRNA from 1 species
AAUUGAAAGAGAAGAAUUGUUUUCAACUUGUCUGGAAAAAAAUCCAUAGUCCCCCCCCCCCCCUCCCUGAAAACAAAUGGUUGCUGCCUUCAAACAAUCUCUUUCAGAGUAUCAUUUUAAUCAAUCUUAUUCAAAGCAUUAUCAUACUGACAUGAAGUAUGACUUAAUUUUGACUUGUGAUCUAAAACAUAAUUGUUGACUUAGCCCCCAGAAACUGCUCUGAAAUACUUUUAUAUAAAUGUAAAAAUGCAUAGUUUUUUU